rnacentral:rRNA from 1 species
UGCAAGUCGAGCGAACAGAAGGGAGCUUGCUCCCGGAUGUUAGCGGCGGACGGGUGAGUAACACGUGGGUAACCUGCCUGUAAGACUGGGAUAACUCCGGGAAACCGGAGCUAAUACCGGAUAGUUCCUUGAACCGCAUGGUUCAAGGAUGAAAGACGGUUUCGGCUGUCACUUACAGAUGGACCCGCGGCGCAUUAGCUAGUUGGUGGGGUAAUGGCUCACCAAGGCGACGAUGCGUAGCCGACCUGAGAGGGUGAUCGGCCACACUGGGACUGAGACACGGCCCAGACUCCUACGGGAGGCAGCAGUAGGGAAUCUUCCGCAAUGGACGAAAGUCUGACGGAGCAACGCCGCGUGAGUGAUGAAGGUUUUCGGAUCGUAAAGCUCUGUUGUUAGGGAAGAACAAGUGCGAGAGUAACUGCUCGCACCUUGACGGUACCUAACCAGAAAGCCACGGCUAACUACGUGCCAGCAGCCGCGGUAAUACGUAGGUGGCAAGCGUUGUCCGGAAUUAUUGGGCGUAA